GAGAGAGUUGGUGGGAGUAGAGGUGGUUGGUGACAGCCGGCCAAGUCGACCCACAACAUAUGUGCUCCGGGAGUGUGGGCGGUAGUAGUACUGUGCAUGUGACCGGGAGGCAUAGACGCUGUAAUUGUAUUUUAUUGUAUAUUAGACAGAAAACAAGA
rnacentral:misc_RNA from 1 species